rnacentral:tRNA from 1 species
GGUAAGAUGGCUGAGUGUUUAGGCGUUAGGCUGUAGUCCUUUUUACAGGGGUUUAAUUCCCCUUCUUAUC